CCUAUUUUGUCCACUUCCAUCGUCCACAUCAAAGCUAAAACAAAUUUUAACAAAAUAUUUCACUUUCAGUCUGAGGUUUUGCUGACACAGCUUCGAGAUGAUGGUUUUACGUGUCUAGAACGAGAUGUUGGUUGAAUUCCAAGAAACCUGGAUGUGUUCGAUGCCAAAACCAAGGCCAACACUGUACACAGAAGACCUAACAUGCAAAAUAACAUUUCUUCUGAGUCACGAACUUUAUGACGCGACGAGUAUUGUUGGAAAAGUUGGCGAACUAUACGCUUGAAAAGAUUUAUUAUAUGCACGAAGGAAACGAUACGUUAGUGUAGGCGUAAAAAGGCUGCUAAUGUUAAUAUGGUCAAAAGGCGAAUCUGGUACGUUAAACACAUAAAAAUACGCAAGGUAAAAAUAAUAAUUAUUAGGAUCUAAGCAUAAAAAUGGAUUUGACUUUACAUAUUAGUGUGUGUGUGUGUUUUGCUAUAACAAAAUAAACUUUGGGGUAUAGUU